CACAACAAAUCUUCAAAUUGGUUGAGACCUGUCUCAGAUACUUUUUGGUUUACAAGAUGGAGGCUGAAAUUAAAGAGAAAGACCCUCACUCAACUCACAGAACAGCAGAGCGGGAAGAGGACUUAGUGAGAAUUCCCUGUUCAAAGGAGAAAACUGAAGCCCAGAGAGUGGAUGGCCAAGUCCAAGGUCAGACGGCCAAGGGCAUCCGAUCAGGCCGGAUGCAGGUUUCCUGCUCCACUGCUCUUUCUACAGCCCGUGUCGCCUGUUUCAUGCUGUGUCCCUUCACCAUCCAGCUGCACAUCUGCUGUCAGAAGCCGGAACUCUCGAGUGUGUGGAGCCAAAGAAGGGAGAGCCAUGGUUAGAAGCAAGACACAGGUCAUGCCUACAUUCAAGGAAAAGAGGGGACUGUGCAAAUGAUAAACUGCAGAAGAGAGACAACAGAUUUACAUCCCAGACACAUUCACGCUGGGCCAAGAGCAGCUGCCAUUGCAGAUUCGAGUCAUGUACAUUUCUCCCUCCUCCUUCCUGGAGUUGGAACAGAAGCUGGGGAGGUGAGAGUGCAGAAAAGACAUGGAUGACGCAGGGAGGAACGUGCCGGUCCCACUCGCCUCUGGCUCUGCUGCAUCUAGGACAAGGUCAGCACAAAGCAGGAGCCCGAGAAAUAUUGAUUAAAGAAAUGAAAGUCAGGUGACAGAAGGUAGAAGGAGGGAAACCCCUCAAAGAGCUCCCCAUCCAUCCUGCUGAGAGGCACCUCCACCACUCAAUAAAACCCCUGCCUUCAUCCUUCAAGUUUGAGUGUGACCUGAUUCUUCCUGGAUGCUGGACAAAGACCUAGGUACCAAAAGGGUCUGACACUUAAGUCAUCCAUGGACAGCAAGGCUAACAGAACACUGUAACAUGUGCCCACUUGGGGUCAGGGAGUCGCAGACACCCACCCAUAGAUGCUACCAUGGGGCCAGAGACCAAAAAAGUGCUUGCCCUGUCUCCUGCACCUGCCUGGCUGCAUGCUUCCCCUUGUAAGGGGUUUGAACAUGUGGCAGCUGAAAGUAAGAGCCAUGCCUCUGUCACAUGUCAUGGGACGGGGGUCAGGCAACUCACCCAUUUCACUUUUAAAUAUUCCCGGACCCCUUUUUGUUUGGGAGCCAGAAUCUAGGGGAGACAGAUAGAAAGCCUGAAAUAGGAUCCAGGCAAUAUAAACCUACAUGCUGUAGGC